rnacentral:rRNA from 1 species
UACGUAGGGUGCAAGCGUUGUCCGGAAUUAUUGGGCGUAAAGAGCUCGUAGGCGGUUUGUCGCGUCUGCUGUGAAAACGCGAGGCUCAACCUCGCGCCUGCAGUGGGUACGGGCAGACUAGAGUGCGGUAGGGGAGAUUGGAAUUCCUGGUGUAGCGGUGGAAUGCGCAGAUAUCAGGAGGAACACCGGUGGCGAAGGCGGCAUCCUGGACCGGUAUUGACGCUGAGGCGCGAAAGCCAGGGGAGCAAACGGG